GACGAACGCUGGCGGCGUGCUUAACACAUGCAAGUCGAACGGAAAGGCCCUGCUUUUGUGGGGUGCUCGAGUGGCGAACGGGUGAGUAACACGUGAGUAACCUGCCCUUGACUUUGGGAUAACUUCAGGAAACUGGGGCUAAUACCGGAUAGGAGCUCCUGCUGCAUGGUGGGGGUUGGAAAGUUUCGGCGGUUUGGGAUGGACUCGCGGCUUAUCAGCUUGUUGGUGGGGUAGUGGCUUACCAAGGCAUUGACGGGUAGCCGGCCUGAGAGGGUGACCGGCCACAUUGGGACUGAGCUACGGCCCAGACUCCUACGGGAGGCAGCAGUGGGGUAUAUUGAACAAUGGGCGGAAGCCUGAUGUAGCAACGCCGCGUGCGGGAUGACGGCCUUCGGGUUGUAAACCGCUUUCGCCUGUGACGAAGCGUGAGUGACGGUAAUGGGUAAAGAAGCACCGGCUAACUACGUG
rnacentral:rRNA from 1 species